rnacentral:rRNA from 1 species
AGAGUUUGAUCAUGGCUCAGNACGAACGUUGGCGGCGUGCUUAACACAUGCAAGUCGAACGAGAAAGUUCCUUNGGGAACGAGUAAAGUGGCGCACGGGUGAGUAACGCGUAAGUAAUCUACCUUGGCAUUUGGAAUAACUACGGGAAGCUGUAGCUAAUACNGGAUACGUUCUCCUUUCUACGGAUUGGAGAAGAAAGAUGACCUCUUCUUGAAAGUUAUCGUGCUAAGAGGAGCCUGCGUACCAUUAGCUAGUUGGUAGGGUAAUGGCCUACCAAGGCAACGAUGGUUAGCGGGUCUGAGAGGAUGAUCCGCCACACUGGAACUGGAACACGGACCAGACUCCUACGGGAGGCAGCAGUGAGGAAUAUUGCGCAAUGGGGGAAACCCUGACGCAGCGACGCCGCGUGGAUGAUGAAGGCCUUAGGGUCGUAAAAUCCUGUCAGGUGGGAAGAAAUGUAUGAGAGAAUAAUACCUCUUGUGCUUGACGGUACCACCAAAGGAAGCACCGGCUAACUCCGUGCCAGCAGCCGCGGUAAUACGGAGGGUGCAAACGUUGUUCGGAAUUACUGGGCGUAAAGCGCGCGUAGGCGGUUUGUUAAGUCAGAUGUGAAAGCCCAAGGCUCAACCUUGGACGUGCAUUUGAAACUGGCAGACUUGAGUACUGGAGGGGAUGGUGGAAUUCCCGGUGUAGAGGUGAAAUUCGUAGAUAUCGGGAGGAAUACCGGUGGCGAAGGCGACCAUCUGGCCAGAUACUGACGCUGAGGUGCGAAAGCAUGGGGAGCAAACAGGAUUAGAUACCCUGGUAGUCCAUGCCGUAAACGAUGUCAACUAGGUGUUGGGGCGGUUAAUCGUCUCAUUGCCGGAGCUAACGCAUUAAGUUGACCGCCUGGGGAGUACGGUCGCAAGAUUAAAACUCAAAGGAAUUGACGG